rnacentral:rRNA from 1 species
UCAAGCGAACAAGGGCGCAGGGCGAAUGCCUUGGCACUGGGAGCCGAUGAAAGACGUGAUAAGCUGCGAUAAGCUUCGGGGAGCUGCAAAUAAGCAUUGAUCCGGAGAUUUCUGAAUGAGGAAACUCACCUGGGUUCAUACUCAGGUACGUUGUACUGAAAUUCAAAAUAGGUACAUCGGGGGAACCGCCUGAACUGAAACAUCUAAGUAGGGCGAGGAAGAGACAUCAAACGAGAUUCCGUAAGUAGUGGCGAGCGAACGCGGAAGAGGGCAAACCGAAGGUAGAAAUACCUUCGGGGUACGGACUGCUUUUAGGACUCGAUCUGUUAACCGAACGGCAUGGGAAGGCCGGUCAGAGAGUGUGAGAACCACGUAGGUGAAAACGGAAAGAGCUGCGCAGAUUCCAGAGUACGGCCAGACACGUGAAACCUGGUCGGAAGAUGGGGGGACCACCCUCCAACCCUAAAUACUACCCAGUGACCGAUAGCGUAUAGUACUGUGAAGGAAAGGUGAAAAGCACCCCGGGAGGGGAGUGAAAGAGAACCUGAAACCCUGUGCCUACAAGCACCUAGAGCACGUCAAUGUGUGAUAGGGUACUUUUUGUAGAACGGUCCGGCGAGCGAUUGUAUGCAGCAAGGUUAAGGACUUAAGGUCUGGAGCCGAAGCGAAAGCGAGUUUGAAAAGGGCGUUAAGUUGCAUAUAAUGGGCCCGAAACCGGGUGACCUACCCAUGGUCAGGUUGAAGUGGAAGUAAAAUUCCAUGGAGGACCGAACCGACCUCCGUUGAAAAGGCGGCGGAUGAACUGUGGGUAGCGGAGAAAUUCCAAUCGAACCCGGAGAUAGCUGGUUCUCCCCGAAAUAGUUUUAGGACUAGCCUCAAGUUAGAUACCUGGAGGUAAAGCACUGAAUAGCCUAGCGGCCGAGAGGUUAGCGAAGCUUAUCAAACUCAGAAUGCCAGAGUAUUGAUGCUUGGGAGUCAGACAGUGUCAGAUAAAUGUCAUUGUCAAAAGGGAAACAGCCCAGAUCUACAGCUAAGGUCCCAAAGUCAGGUUAAGUGGAAAACGAUGUGAAGAUACGCAGACAACCAGGAUGUUGGCUCAGAAGCAGCCACUCAUUCAAAGAGUGCGUAAUAGCUCACUGGUCGAGCGUCUUUGCGCGGAGAAUUUAACGGGGCUAAACCUGACACCGAAGCUUAGGCAACACAGUAAUGUGUUGGGUAGGGGAGCGUUGUAUACGCGGAGAAACAGUAGCGUAAGCGGCUGUGGAGUGUAUAGAAGUGAGAAUGCCGGAAUGAGUAGCGCGAAUGCAGUGAGAAUCUGCAUGGCCGAAAGCCUCAGGUUUUUGGAGGAAGGUUCGUCCGCUCCAAGUUAGUCGGGAGCUAAGGUGAGGCCGGAAGGCGUAGCCGAUGCACAGACGGUAGAGAUUCCGUCACCACCAAAAGAGUUAAGCACAGGGACACAUUUGAAGUCUCAGAGCCGGGUGUUGGUUCCGGUAGAGAUCGAGGGAAGUUAGUACCGAAGUCUGGGAUGGAGGAUGGCGAGAAAAGCUGUGUGUAUUUCUGAGGUGCCCGUACCGCAAACCGACACAGGUAGGUAGGAAGAAGAUUCUAAGGCCAACGGGAGAAGGGUUGUUAAGGAACUCGGCAAAUUGACCCCGUAACUUCGGGAGAAGGGGUGCUCCAGAGAUGGAGCCGCAGAGAAUCGGCCCAAGCAACUGUUUACCAAAAACACAGGUUUGUGCUAAAUCGAAAGAUGACGUAUACGAGCUGACGCCUGCCCGGUGCUGGAAGGUUAAGAGGAGAUGUGCAAGCAUUGAAUCGAAGCCCCAGUGAACGGCGGCCGUAACUAUAACGGUCCUAAGGUAGCGAAAUUCCUUGUCAGGUAAGUUCUGACCCGCA